rnacentral:lncRNA from 1 species
CCUCUCAGCUCCUCUUGUGUUGAAACCCCACUUUGAUGAGGAUCUUCUUCUCCUUUUUAAUCAAGGAUACCCUUGAUGGAGUUGGGUAGAGCACAGGUUUGGUAUUCUUGGAUCAAGAAACCUUAGCAGGGCUGGCCUGGUGGUGCAGUGGUUAAGUUUGCCCGUUCUGCUUCUCAGCAGUCAGGGGUUCGCCGGUUCGGAUCCCAGGUGUGGACAUGGCACCGCUUGGCAAAAGCCAUGCUGUGGUAGGCAUCCCACAUAUAAAAUAGAGGUAGAGGAAGAUGGGCAUGGAUGUUAGCUCAGGGCCAGUCUUCCUCAGCAAAAAGAGGAAGCUUGGCAGUAGUUAGCUCAGGGCUAAUCUUCCUCAAAAAACAAACAUAAAAAACCUUAGCAUUCACCAAUUUUAGGAUAAAGACCAGGAGAAAAUCCUGAUGUGUCUAAGAUUCCCCAAAGGUUAGUGAAGCAAGAGAAGCCAGUAGUAGGAAAUGACAAAACUGGCCUAAUAGAGGAUACAUCACUUUGAAAUAACGAAAAAGCAAAACCCUCCUAGAAUUCCAGGGGAAUAUAGGCUUCCGUAAGUAAUUUUUCUCUUUAGCAUAAGCACUGGAUAUACUAAAAGCUAUAACUGGAGUUUUUUAAAAAGUGUAUUUCAAAACAUGGUCUGCUGGGGCCGGCCUGGUGGGGUAGCAGUCAAGUUCACACGUUCUGCUUCGGCAGUCCAGGGUUCGCCGGUUCGGAUCCCAGGUGUAGACCUGUGUACCAUUCAUCAAGUGAUGCUGUUGCAGGCAUCCCACAUAUAAAGCAGAGGAAGAUGGGCACGGAUGCUAGCUCAGGGCCAGUCUUCCUCAGCAAAAAGAGAGUUGGUGACAGAUGUUAGGUCAUGGCUAAUAUUCCUCAAAAAAAAAACCCCAAACCAAACCAACAAACAGAAAAAACAUGGUCUGCUUUCAGAGAUCUAAGCAGGAAAUAUGGCAAAAAAGCCGGGAUGUUUGUAACACAAACAUCUUCCUCUUCUCUCCCACACUCCUUCUACAUUCUCCUCCAAUAAUAAGGCUUCCUUGUACUACUUCCUAUGAAUCAGAGAUCUCCAUUUCCUCAUAUUAUCCUUCCCAAGGCAGACUUCAUUCUCCCCCCUCUCGAGCUAUACUUGUGCAAAGUCUACUGGGGAAUAUGACUUAGAGAGGAGAAGACUGAAAAUAUGUCCAUUUAGUCUCUUAAAAAUAUUUGAUAAAUAAAUGAGAUUUCAGUGAUUGAAAAUGGAAGCUUUAUACAGGAAGGAGGCAUAAACGGUUCUGCAGACAUCUGGUUCUUCCUAGCUUUUCUCAGAUGCUUCAUUUUUCACGGAUUAGAUCAGUGAUGGUAUCCCUUCCCUGGAGAGGUCUCAUUCUUCAGUCUUUGCAUUCCUCGAGUUUCCUGGCCCAACUGUAGUAAAACAGAACAUGGCGCCUGCUUCUAGUGCCUGACACACGAUAAGAACUCGUUAAACAGCGAGUGCUCUAUCCCUGCUCCUCCUUCCAGCCGUCACAACGGCAGCAGCAGGAGUGUCUGUGACGCAGCACGAGACGUCUGUCAAGCUGUCAAAAUGAAGGGGUGACCUCGUUUUGGAGAAGCCGUGAAUCAGCACACACAGCGGACGGUCUUCCAAAGAUGAACACGGUCAUCUCCCAUCCACGCUCUUCUCAUAACGUGACCUUAGCUCUCCAUUUUUCCUGCUUUCGCAGCCUCACACAGCCAGAUCGUUAUAUUCUAUAGCCGUCUAGGAUUACUUUUAUCAGCACCUCCCCUCUGCCCAUCCCAAGAUGCACGUCCUGGCGGCCCACCCUGCGCAGGAUCCUUCGUGCAGCCGUCUACUCAGAGCGGUCCGCGCUUCACGCCGAGGGCGCCAGGAAAGCUAGCGACGAGAUCCGCGGCCGAGGUGCAUCUUAGGGCCGGCAAACACGGGGCGCAGAGGACGGCUGGUCAGAAAGCAGGCGCCACCCCUGGGGCGGCCACGAGGCCUGGGCGAGGCGCGCGGCCGUCACUCCCGCUGCUGCCCGCCGACCACGAGCUUGGCCCUGGCCGGCACUCACGGCCGCGGGGCGCGGACAGGUUCACCCGCCUGACCCAGGGCGCACCCCUCGCCGCGGCCGCUUCCGCCGCCCCCGAGGCUGGGUGCCCACGUCGUACCCCUGCAAACUUCCCUUCGCCUCGCCUCUCCAGCUGAAAGGCCCGGACAACCGGGACAACACGCCAUGUCGGGUCCCCGACGAGCACCCGUGUCUCCCCGGCCCCGAACGGUGCCGCGCACAGCCUGGGGGCACCGACCGGCGGACCGCCCGUGAGCAGUGCGCCCCGAGCCGGUGUGCGCCGCCCGCCCCGGUGCGCGCCGGACCGCAGGAGUCCUGCCCGUAGCCGCAGGCAGAGCCAGGGCGGCCGGUCACCCGAGGAGGCAGCGGGCGGGUCCCCCCGGCGCCUUCUCGCACGGGGACACUCGGCCCCUGCACCGGGGCCGCCUCUACGACCAGGCCCGUGGCGCUCAAAGGCCCGUCUCCCGCCGCGGCUUCGCGGGGCCGGGCUUCCACACGCGGGCGGGGGCGGCCUCCACGCUCGCCCGGAGCGUCCGUCUGCCCCCGCUCUGGAGGCG